UUCUAUUAACUAUAACCAGCAUGCAGGCAUGAUUCGGGCUUCUUAUCUGAAUUAUGUAAUAAAUCAAUCUGCCUCAACCCUUAAGUUCUUCGUUAUUGUAUGUGUAAGCCAUGAUAAUUACAUGGUUCUUUGUUUAAAUGGGGUAUAUCUGAGCCUUUUUCUUCUUAAGUGAUUUCCCCAACUUGUUAUACAUGUUUUGUGUGUCGCCUUAGAAUUUUGCCUUUGAAACUACAAAUAAGCCAAACACCCCUCCCCUUUAGGAUUAGUAGUCCUAAAUGCCUCCGGAACUAAUAGGAUUGGGUCGGGUAAUAGCACGCAAUAAGUAAUCGAGACCAUUCCGUGCUUUAAUACCUUAACAGGAUAGGAAUGGUAGAUAUGAAUAUGAUGACCACGCGAUAAUGUUACAUCUAGCCCCUCAUUGAGGAGUGAUUACCAGGCAUUGUGUGGGGUGAUCGAUAUUAUUAAUUGUGAGCAUGUGAUUUUUACACCAUUGAGAUGACUCCUACAGGAUUCUCAGGUUUAGGAGUUUUUCUCUUAAUUAUUUAUUUUUAGGAUUUGAUUUUUAGGAUUUAAUUGCUCAUAUCAGUGUGUUUUCAUUACUGCAUCCAUAAAAUCGUAUAAAAAGAAGAAUAAUAAUUAGUACAGAAUUACACAAACUUGUAGGACUCAAUUUCAUAAUUAUGCCAGAUUAAUUGGGUAAUUAGGUUUAUUUUUGCAAAUACAAAAAUCAUAAAAUUAAGUAGUAUUUCCAGCAUUUUAAUUGUUUUGUAUUUUUGUGUUUUAAUUUAUUGCAUUUUUAUUUAUUUAUUGCAUAAUAGGUAGUUAUUAAUUUGUCUUAAGUUUAAUUAGGAUUUUUUAAAAAUACAAUUAAGAAUUAAAAUAAAUAGGA
rnacentral:lncRNA from 1 species